UUUACAGGGGCGAAUCAUGCCGCAUGCUCCGUAAAACAUUGAUAGAGAUGGAAUUCACGGCACAAACAGUUUAAAAAAUGUUUUGAUUUAGGCUAUAAAAAUGGAUUUUAUCAAAGAAAAUGGCACUUCAUUUGAUCAAUGGGACACUCAAGAAGAGAAAAAAGAGCAAGAUAUCAGAAUGAUGCCACAUCCCAAUAUACCUGACAUUCCACUAGCUGUACCUGACCAGGAUGUUGCCGCUGAUCACAAUGCUGCUGGUAGAUGCAAUGCUGGCCUACAAGCAAGAAAUUGCCUCAUAAGGACGAGAUUCACAUGAAAAAAAAGGGCCUUCUGCCUUCAGAAGCUCCUCCUGUACCCUGCGCAGGGCUGUGAUCUCCCCCCAGGAGCAUCCUCUAGACAGCCACCAUCUCCUCCACACCAGCAUGCCUCCUUGCCCGUGGUGGCACUGGCUCGUACAUUGGGGUGUCAUGAUGGAUAAGGAUCUGAGACAGGCACAUCUCCC